rnacentral:rRNA from 1 species
CACGUAAGGGGCGAGCGUUGUUCGGAAUUAUUGGGCGUAAAGGGCGCGUAGGCGGUCCUGUAAGCCCGGCGUGAAAACCUGGAGCUCAACUCCGGGCCUGCGCUGGGAACUGCGGGACUAGAGUCAUGGAAGGGAAGUUGGAAUUCCAGGUGUAGGGGUGAAAUCUGUAGAUAUCUGGAAGAACACCGGUGGCGAAGGCGACCUUCUGUCCAAUGACUGACCAUGAGGCGCGAAAGUGCGGGGAGCAAACAGG